rnacentral:rRNA from 1 species
GACGAACGCUGGCGGCAGGCUUAACACAUGCAAGUCGAGCGCCCCGCAAGGGGAGCGGCAGACGGGUGAGUAACGCGUGGGAACGUGCCUUUCGGUUCGGAACAACUGAGGGGAAACUUCAGCUAAAACCGGAUACGCCUUCGGGAAGUUACGCCGAAGAUCGGCCGCGUUAGAUUAGCUAGUUGGUGGGGUAAAGGCCUACCAAGGCGACGAUCUAUAGCUGUUCUGAGAGGAAGACCGAGCCACGCUGGGACUGAGACACGGCCCAGACUCCUACGGGAGGCAGCAGUGGGGAAUAUUGGACAAUGGGCGCAAGCCUGAUCCAGCCAUGCCGCGUGGAUGAAGAAGGCCCUAGGGUUGUAAAGUCCUUUCGCCGCUGAAGAUAAUGACGGUAAGCGGAGAAGAAG